GACGAACGCUGGCGGCGUGCUUAACACAUGCAAGUCGAACGGAAAGGCCCUGCUUUUGUGGGGUGCUCGAGUGGCGAACGGGUGAGUAACACGUGAGUAACCUGCCCUUGACUUUGGGAUAACUUCAGGAAACUGGGGCUAAUACCGGAUAGGAGCUCCUGCUGCAUGGUGGGGGUUGGAAAGUUUCGGCGGUUGGGGAUGGACUCGCGGCUUAUCAGCUUGUUGGUGGGGUAGUGGCUUACCAAGGCUUUGACGGGUAGCCGGCCUGAGAGGGUGACCGGCCACAUUGGGACUGAGAUACGGCCCAGACUCCUACGGGAGGCAGCAGUGGGGAAUAUUGCACAAUGGGCGGAAGCCUGAUGCAGCAACACCGCGUGCGGGAUGACGGCCUUCGGGUUGUAAACCGCUUUCGCCUGUGACGAAGCGUGAGUGACGGUAAUGGGUAAAGAAGCACCGGCUAACUACGUGCCAGCAGCCGCGGUGAUACGUAGGGUGCGAGCGUUGUCCGGAUUUAUUGGGCGUAAAGGGCUCGUAGGUGGUUGAUCGCGUCGGAAGUGUAAUCUUGGGGCUUAACCCUGAGCGUGCUUUCGAUACGGGUUGACUUGAGGAAGGUAGGGGAGAAUGGAAUUCCUGGUGGAGCGGUGGAAUGCGCAGAUAUCAGGAGGAACACCAGUGGCGAAGGCGGUUCUCUGGGCCUUUCCUGACGCUGAGGAGCGAAAGCGUGGGGAGCGAACAGGCUUAGAUACCCUGGUAGUCCACGCUGUAAACGGUGGGUACUAGGUGUGGGGUCCAUUCCACGGGUUCCGUGCCGUAGCUAACGCUUUAAGUACCCCGCCUGGGGAGUACGGCCGCAAGGCUAAAACUCAAAGGAAUUGACGGGGCCCCGCACAAGCGGCGGAGCAUGCGGAUUAAUUCGAUGCAACGCGUAGAACCUUACCUGGGUUUGACAUGGAUCGGGAGUGCUCAGAGAUGGGUGUGCCUCUUUUGGGGUCGGUUCACAGGUGGUGCAUGGCUGUCGUCAGCUCGUGUCGUGAGAUGUUGGGUUAAGUCCCGCAACGAGCGCAACCCUUGUUCACUGUUGCCAGCACGUUAUGGUGGGGACUCAGUGGAGACCGCCGGGGUCAACUCGGAGGAAGGUGGGGAUGACGUCAAGUCAUCAUGCCCCUUAUGUCCAGGGCUUCACGCAUGCUACAAUGGCUGGUACAGAGAGUGGCGAGCCUGUGAGGGUGAGCGAAUCUCGGAAAGCCGGUCUCAGUUCGGAUUGGGGUCUGCAACUCGACCUCAUGAAGUCGGAGUCGCUAGUCAUCGCAGAUCAGCAACGCUGCGGUGAAUACGUUCCCGGG
rnacentral:rRNA from 1 species